AUUGAACGCUGGCGGCAUGCCUUACACAUGCAAGUCGAACGGUAACAGGUCUUCGGACGCUGACGAGUGGCGAACGGGUGAGUAAUACAUCGGAACGUGCCCAGUCGUGGGGGAUAACUACUCGAAAGAGUAGCUAAUACCGCAUACGAUCUGAGGGUGAAAGCGGGGGACCUUCGGGCCUCGCGCGAUUGGAGCGGCCGAUGGCAGAUUAGGUAGUUGGUGGGAUAAAAGCUUACCAAGCCGACGAUCUGUAGCUGGUCUGAGAGGACGACCAGCCACACUGGGACUGAGACACGGCCCAGACUCCUACGGGAGGCAGCAGUGGGGAAUUUUGGACAAUGGGCGAAAGCCUGAUCCAGCAAUGCCGCGUGCGGGAUGAAGGCCUUCGGGUUGUAAACUGCUUUUGUACGGAACGAAAAAGCUCCUUCUAAUACAGGGGGCCCAUGACGGUACCGUAAGAAUAAGCACCGGCUAACUACGUGCCAGCCGCCGCCGUAA
rnacentral:rRNA from 1 species